rnacentral:rRNA from 1 species
GAUGAACGCUGGCGGCGUGCUUAACACAUGCAAGUCGAACGGUGAAGCAGGAGCUUGCUCUUGUGGAUCAGUGGCGAACGGGUGAGUAACACGUGAGCAACCUGCCCCUGACUCUGGGAUAAGCGCUGGAAACGGCGUCUAAUACUGGAUAUGUGAUGUGACCGCAUGGUCUGCAUCUGGAAAGAAUUUCGCUUCGGGAGGGGCCUGCGUAGCAUUGGCUAGUUGGUGAGGUAAAAGCUCACCAAGGCGACGAUGUUUAGCUGGUGUGAGAGGAUGAUCAGCCACACUGGGACUGAGAUACGGCCCAGACUCCUACGGGAGGCAGCAGUGAGGAAUAUUCCACAAUGGGGGAAACCCUGAUGGAGCGAUGCCGCGUGCAGGAAGACGCUUUUCGGAGUGUAAACUGCUUUUAAUAGGGAAGAUUAUGACGGUACCGAUAGAAUAAGGACCGGCUAACUACGUGCCAGCAGCCGCCGUAA